AGUGAACGCUGGCGGCGUGACUAAUACAUGCAAGUCGAACGGAGUGGCGCACGGGUGAGUAAUGUAUAGCUAAUCUGCACUACACUAGAGGACAAAAGUUGGAAACGACUGCUAAUAAUCUAUAGGGUAGGAUGAGGCUAUUUUGUAUCAGCUAGUUGGUGGGGUAAUGACUCACCAAGGCUAUGACGGAUAACUGGUCUGGGAGGAUGAUCAGUCACACUGGAACUGAGACACGGUCCAGACUCCUACGGGAGGCAGCAGUAGGGAAUAUUGCUCAAUGGGGGAAACCCUGAAGCAGCAACGCCGCGUGGAGGAUGACACUUUUCGGAGCGUAAACUCCUUUUGUUAGGGAAGCGGUACCUAACGAAUAAGCACCGGCUCACUCCGUGCCAGCAGCCGCGGUAAUUC
rnacentral:rRNA from 1 species